UCUCCGUUGGUGAACCAGCGGAGGGAUCAUUACAGAGUUGCAAAACUCCCAAACCAUAGUGAACGUUACCUAUCCCGUUGCUUCGGCGGGCGGCCCGGGCCCCGCGCCCGGCGCCCCCCGGCCCCCCGUGGGCGCCCGCCGGAGGUAAACCAAACCCUUGAAUUGCAUGGCCUCUCUGAGUCUUCUGUACUGAAUAAGUCAAAACUUUCAACAACGGAUCUCUUGGUUCUG
rnacentral:misc_RNA from 1 species